rnacentral:rRNA from 1 species
UACGGAGGGUGCAAGCGUUAUCCGGAUUCACUGGGUUUAAAGGGUGCGUAGGUGGGCAGGUAAGUCAGUGGUGAAAUCUCCGGGCUUAACCCGGAAACUGCCAUUGAUACUAUCUGUCUUGAAUACCGUGGAGGUGCGCGGAAUAUGUCAUGUAGCGGUGAAAUGCUUAGAUAUGACAUAGAACACCAAUUGCGAAGGCAGCUCACUACACGAAUAUUGACACUGAGGCACGAAAGCGUGGGGAUCAAACAGG